CCACCACAGUCACUGCCGGCGUGUGGCCCCCCUCUCUCAGGAGGCUCUGUGCUCCUCUGGGGCAGGGGCCCUUCUUCCUUCUCUUUCUACUCCCAGAGCCCAGUGCAGGCCUUGGCACUAGGAGGCAUGUCUCCGUCAGCCCAGGUUGCGGUAACAAACUCCACAGAGUGGGGGGCUUGCACAGCAGACAUUCAUUUCUCAUGGUUCUGCAGCUGGAGGUCUGAGACCAGGGUGUCGGGUCGUCAGCUCCCGGUGACGGCUGGCUUCCUUGUUUGCAGAUGGUUGCCUUCUCGCUGCAUCUUCAUGUAGUAGAGAGAGAGAUCAUCUCUCUGGUACCUCCUUAUCAGGGCACUAAUCCCAUCAUGAGGGCUCCAACCUCAUGACCUAAUUACCUCCCAAAGACACCCCCUCCAAUAUCAUCACAUUGGAGCUAGGGCCUCAACAUAUGAAUUUUGGGGAACAUAAGCAUACAAUUCAUAGGGGGAGAUGGCAAGAAAUAUUUGCUAAAGGAAUAAAUAGUGUGGAGAAGACUGCGGUGGGGGAGGGAAGCAUGCCAGGAUGAACUCGGGGCAGGUGUGUGGAAGGGGGGCCGGGGGUGGCCUCAAGCUGGCUUUCCUGGCCUGGCCUGUUGCAUCGCUUCUCUCUGGGCUCCAUGGGAUUCUGCAGCUGUUUGUGCGUCACAGAGCCGAGCUCCACGUUCUCAUCUGCUGCUCUUCUCCGCAUUCCAAACACUCGUUCAUGCUGAAGUUAUACCAACACUUGCCCGGUCGUCAUUUGCGGAAGGAUUCACCGAAUUCUGUCACCCCGUGACUGGGGGCAGCUGUUCCUGGGCCACCAGACGUCGCCAUUUCCUUGACAAGGAGGCUUCUGUGGAGCAACAGCUGUUUUCCUCAUCAUUUCAGAGGGAGCAGGCCAGGAGCCAACCUUGGGCAGAAGCGAUGUCUCUUUGGUAACAAAUGGAUUUGUUUUAGCUGAAGAGUUGGCUGUAAGGAUAAAAGAAAGUCCAGAAUUUUAAGUGGCUGUGUCUUUUUCAUUUCUAUGAUUCUGCCUCAAAGUACGGUGCCUGGCACCUAAUAGACACGGAAUUAAAUAUUCAUUGCCUAAACAAAGGUGAGGACGAAUGAAUGAGGAAAGCCUUCCGUAAGGGAAGCGGUCGAAUUCUCUAAGGUGCUUUUGCAGAAGACGGCGGUGACAGUGAUGAGGAAUCAGGACCAACAUGUUCAAGGUCAUCCGGCUCGGAAGGGGCAGAGGCUGCAGUCGACCCAGGCAGUCAGCUUUAAAGGGGCUCCUCCGAGGCGCUGGGCUUCCGCCUUGUGCUCUGGCACUUGUUGAAGAUGAACAUAGCGCCCCCAUUACAUCGGAAGCAGGUUCUAGCCUAUCAGGGAGGGGUGCUGGAGAGCCCCGAAUACAACCAAGCAUGCUGGGAAAGGCGGGAGCGUUCC
rnacentral:lncRNA from 1 species